rnacentral:lncRNA from 1 species
ACUCUAUAAAUUCUAAUGAGUUUCUCACUUAUUUGCAUAUUCCUUCUUACACAAAAAAGUGAAAUACAGUCUUAAUCCUCUUGACUGAAUUUUGCUCGUAUAUCUCGAGUUCUUUUCUCUGCAGAUCACCCACCACAUACAAGGAGGAAUUGUAUGCUACAUCUUGUUUCAACUCUUGCCUACACCAACAACUCCUAAAAUCCUAUUUAUUCCCACGCAUGAAGCCUUUGAUUCUGGCAAAGUUGAGAAAUAACUAACAUAGGUGGUCAGUAAAAGGUCAGUGCAAAACAAAGGGUGUUUAAUGGUUUCCGUUUGAAAACCAUAUAAAUCGCAUCUGUGAUGUAUACCAUGAUGUAUCUCACAUGAUGCGUACCCAUCCAUUUCUAACUCUUUCUAUCUUGUUCUUUUCAAUUUCCCUUUUCCUAUAUCUCUUUUUGUUGCCUCUCAUGCUAGUCUCCAUCAAAAAACAUGUUUCAAGUAGUAAAUAGAUCACACAAAACUAUCCAAUUUGUAUCCAUCCAUGUUUUAACUAUUGCUAUCUUUGUUCUUCUAUUCUCUUUUCCCACUACCACUACCUCUACCUCUCUCUGUUGCAUCUCUUGUUGGUCUGCAUUUAAGGAAUCACUUUUAUAAAAGGUUGUCUUUUCUUCAAAAGGAUGUUGAAACAUGUGACUGAAUGUUAUACAUGAUAUAUCUCAAUUCUCACAUGAUAUACACUCAUCUAGUAACUUUUGUUAUCUUUGUUUUUCUCUAUUUUGCUUUUACCAAGGAUACACUACCUCUAUCUCCGGCAUCUCCUGCUAGUUUCCUUUAAAAAGCAUGUUUUCCGCUGUACAUAGGAUGUAUCGCACAUAAAUAUGUACUCAUCCAUUUUCUACCUCAAUUUCUAUUUGCUCCUCUUUAUAUUCGGUUGCACACUUAAUUGUCAAUCUUAAAUGUAGGUGCUUUGUCCAGAUACAAGCAGAGAAUAUAUUCUCCCAAGAGGUGUUAUUGAAGUGUGCAUAAGAAGCUGGGUAAUGACUCUAAUCCUCCUAAACACGAAUCCUCGGAUUCUCAAAUCUGCUUGUCGAAUUCUCGGGUUCCCUCACUAG